GUUCCGGUAGCUCAGCAGGAGAGCGCCGCCCCGACAAGGCGGAGGUCGCUGGUGCGAUUCCAGCUCGGAGCA
rnacentral:tRNA from 1 species